rnacentral:lncRNA from 1 species
CCCACCUCAAAAUUUUGAAUUGAAUAUUGGCCAUUUUUAUUAAGGAGGCAUUGGGUGAAUUUAGUUUCCUCUAGAAAUUAUUUUCUUCUUUGACCAUUGACAGAUUAUCUCAGUCCAAUCAGGGAAUAUGAUGAUUUGAGGAUAUAGAUGGUCUACCAAGACCUUUUCUAGAAUUUUUAUUUCACCAGCAUCAUGAAACUAAUAAAAUCUCCACCUAGCUUUCUGUCUCCUUAGAAGCUAUUUUAAACAUGUAUACACUACUUUGGCAUUGGCAAAUACCUCUAGAAGAAAUUGUGCUCAGAAUAUUGUAUUCAGUUUUCUCUUUCCUCUAGAAUCUUGUCUCAUCAACUGCUGACUGCAUUGGUAGGCUUGAACUCCAGUUUUAUUCUCCAGCUCAUUAAUACUGCCAUAAUAUUUAUUCUUCCAGUUUCUUAUUUAAUGCUAUGUCCUCACUGCAAGUUGGCGAAUGGUCCAAGGGUGAAAACCAGUGACAAAUCCUCCACAGCAACAGAAACCAUUGUCCAUCUCCACACUUGUCCCCAGCCAUCUCGACAGCUCUGGGCUCAGCAGUUCUCUGCUUCAAUUCAAUGCUAUGCUGAUACAGUCUGCAAAGAACCUGGGAUAUCAAACAGAUACAGACCCUGCCUUCAGGCUCCCCAAAGGAGAGACAGACACAUACACAGACAGCUCAGCCACAGACGUGGAUGAUAGAGGGGAAAUUGGCUUUGACCUUGAUGCUUCGCAAGGAGCGGAUGGGACUUGGAGUCUGGUUAGCAAAGAAAAAUGAACCAAGCAUCCUCAGUCGUGUCUGAAGAGCAAGAACUGGGCUCAACAGAAUUCUUCCGUCUCCUUGCUUACUGCUGUCUGUGUGCAGGGGUACGCAUGCUUUUGCAUGCACAAAGACAUGCACACAUGCUGUGUCUGACAUGCAUGGGAGAGACCCAGUGCCCUUGUUCAUGCUGGAACUCCCUGAGCAUAUUUGGCAUUUGACUGACAUGUGAAGCUCCCACAGACAUCAGAACAGUAGCUCAGAAUGCAUAAGAGAUUUUUUGCUGUUGAUAAGACACUUGGAGAGGAAAAUGUUACUAAGACUACUUUCCAGUCCCUCCAGGAAUCCUUCAGAGAAAGGAAGUCCCUCUUAAGAAAGUCACGUGAGAGGUGAGGAAUAAAGCUAAUGCAGCCAAGUGUAUAACUUGCAACCACCCCCAAUCAUCCCGCUUGUGCCCUCAUCCUUUUGGUUUUACUCCUGUUGGCUUCCCCACCAGGAAUGUCCUUAGGCUCUCAUUUCCUACCUGGAAAAAUCCUUUUUAUCUUCCCAGUCUCAAAUGAAUUUUUGCUCUCUUCAAAAAUCCUUCUCUGAUUUUUCCCCACUCAGCACAAAUUGGUUCUUCCUCUAACCUGUAAAUUGUUUGAGAGAAGGGAGGCUAUGUCCAAAACAUACAUACUAGGUGCUCAAUGAUACCAGAUUAGAGGAGCACAGACCUGGAAGCAGGGGGACCCCAGUCCAAACCAGGCUCUCCUACACUGGAGUGGGAAGACUUUGGAGAUAACCUACACAAGCCUCAGUUUUC